rnacentral:rRNA from 1 species
GACGAACGCUGGCGGCGUGCCUAACACAUGCAAGUCGAGCGGGGUAGCCGGAAGGUGUAGCGAUACAGCGGAGGGGUACCUAGCGGCGAACGGGUGAGUAACGCGUGGGCAAUCUGCCCCCGGGGGCGGGAUAACAGACCGAAAGGCCUGCUAAUACCGCAUGAAGCCGUCCUAUCGCAUGAUAAGACGGUAAAAGGGGAAACCCGCCUGGGGAGGAGCCCGCGUCCCAUUAGCUAGUUGGUGGUGUAAAGGACCACCAAGGCGAUGAUGGGUAGCCGGCCUGAGAGGGUGAACGGCCACAUUGGGACUGAGACACGGCCCAGACUCCUACGGGGGCAGCAGUGAGGGAUUUUCGGCAAUGGGCGAAAGCCUGACCGAGCGACGCCGCGUGAGCGAAGAAGGCCUUCGGGUCGUAAGCUCUGUCUAGGGGAAGAGUAAGGACGGUAACCUCUGGAGGAAGCCAACGGCUAACUACGUGCCAGCAGCCGCGGUAAACGUAGCGUG